rnacentral:rRNA from 1 species
AACGCUAGCUACAGGCUUAACACAUGCAAGUCGAGGGGCAGCAUUGGAGUAGCAAUACUUCAGAUGGCGACCGGCGCACGGGUGAGUAACACGUAUCCAACCUGCCGCUUACUCGGGGAUAGCCUUUCGAAAGAAAGAUUAAUACCCGAUGGUAUAAAGAGUUCGCAUGUUCUCUUUAUUAAAGAAUUUCGGUAAGCGAUGGGGAUGCGUUCCAUUAGAUAGUUGGCGGGGUAACGGCCCACCAAGUCUACGAUGGAUAGGGGUUCUGAGAGGAGGGUCCCCCACAUUGGAACUGAGACACGGUCCAAACUCCUACGGGAGGCAGCAGUGAGGAAUAUUGGUCAAUGGACGAGAGUCUGAACCAGCCAAGUAGCGUGAAGGAUGACUGCCCUAUGGGUUGUAAACUUCUUUUAUAAGGGAAUAAAGUGAGGGACGUGUCCCUUUUUGUAUGUACCUUAUGAAUAAGGAUCGGCUAACUCCGUGCCAGCAGCCGCGGUAAUACGGAGGAUCCAAGCGUUAUCCGGAUUUAUUGGGUUUAAAGGGAGCGUAGGUUGACAUAUAAGUCAGCUGUGAAAGUUUACGGCUCAACCGUGAAAUUGCAGUUGAUACUGUAUGUCUUGAGUGUACAAGAGGUGGGCGGAAUUCGUGGUGUAGCGGUGAAAUGCUUAGAUAUCACGAAGAACUCCGAUUG